CACACUCUCUUGAGUUUGGUAUUCUUAUCCUUCUGCUCCAAGUCUAUUUCAAUUUUCAGUGGAUACAAUAAAAUGAAGUUGCCGUUUUGUCAAGAAGUAAGCAGAAAGGCACUCCAAGCUUGAAGGAGAUGAGUGGGAACUUGUACUACAUGGCAUUGCCAUCAACAAGCCACCCCUGCAUGCCCUAGCACAUUCCUCCAAGUGAAGAGCCAGGUGUCCUGAUGUCCUCUUGAACUGCUGAACAGGGGCUAUAUGCCAGGAGCAAGUCUGCACCAUGCUGGUUAUCGGCGGACACAUCUUUCUUUGUAUGUGGUGUUGAGGAUCGAACCCGGGCCGCACGCAUGCCAGUAAGGACAUCCUGAGACAGCCUAGUUGGUACAUCCUCUGCAUACUCUAGCCACAGGGUAUCCAGAAGACUCAAACUUCAUUCUGUUCAACCAUCUGAAUUCUCCCGAGGCUGAGUUCUGUAUCAUAAGAUAAUAACCACUUUUUUGAGUACGCUGCUGAUUCAUUCCUUGAUCCUUUGGUGGCCCUUGUGGGAUAAAGUGGAGUUUUAUAAAAGUUUCUUGCCCCUCUUGUACCUGACCAUUCCAGACAAAAAGCCUUGCAGUAGAGAAUGAUGGGGGAAAGGUGAAGCUAUGAAGUGGGGCAGUUGAUUCUCUGGAGGUAGAGGGAGAACAACUUUGACACCUGGGAGGAGAACAUCCCUGACCCUAGAAGAUACAACAGAAGGAAGAAUGCCAAUGUUCUGUGUCAUUUGAAACUGCUACAGGAGAAAAAAAAAUCAGUUUCCAAAAAGAGGAAAAGCAGAAAACAGACAUCGUGGAAGAAAAAUUUUAAACAGAAGCAGCAAAAAGAAGCAUCCUCUAUAAAGUCAACUGUGUCACACCAUAUAAAUUCCUUGCUGGAUUUAGAGUAGCAGGUACAGACGCAGACUGUAAUGAGAAGAAAGUGUAGGGUUCUCAUGCAUAUAACUCAGAACACAAAACAGAAACUCUGUAGCUGGCACUUAUACCUAUAUUAUGCAAUCAGGAAUAAUAAAUCUCUCUUAAUUUUUUUUAGUUGUAGUUGGACAUAAUACCUUUAUAUUAUUUUAUUUAUUUAUUUUUAUGUGGUGCUAAGGAUCAAACCCGAGCCUCACACGUGCUAGGCGAGCACCUUAAAGCUGAGCCACAACCCUAGACCAUAAAUAUCUUUAAUAAUUAAAAAAAAAAAAUAAGAAAGAAACUGCCCCUACAGCCUUCCUCACCUAGGAAAAUGCUCUGCUAUGUCUCUCCCAAACUGUUGUGACCACUUUAAAUUCACCUGCUGGGUCUGUCAUCCUCCAUCUGCUCACAAUUUGACUUCCUUUCCCCUUAACCUUACUGAAAAAUCUAUCAAAAACUGUACAUAAUGGCCCUGCCUCCAAUGGCUGACCCUUCUAUGCAAAACACCUGUCAAAAACUCCGGAUGUCUUCCCCUUUUCUGAGGCCACCACUCAAGCACUGUCUGAGGGAGGUGAAUGCCUCUCAGCUGGUGGUAUAACAAAACAAGUUAGACAUACCACUUACAAGCAGUAUCUCCAAAUCUAAAGACUAGAAUUAAUUACUUGGACUCACUUAUAAACUCUAAAGUUUUUUGUUGUUAGAGCUUGUUGUUAGGUAAUGUUGGAAGGAUCCUGGAGAGCUCCAAAAAGUCCAAAUGCUAUCUUUUAUAGGGGCAUCAUGCGUGUCCUGGGAUUGUAUUUCUUUUUUGAAAGCAGGCAUUAACUUGCCUCACUCCUCAAAAUAUGCAUCUUAGGCGCAGUUGUAAAAGACUUUCAAAUGUUUAAGGGAAUGCCACCAGUUGAUCAUGUAGCCCUCCAAUGAUUGUGAAGAUGACUUCAAAACAAGGCCAUGCUGGUUAUUCACAGAAGCUUCCUAAAGAUAUAUAAGUCACUCAAUUUUUACACAUACUACUAUGAGAGUCCUCCAAUUAAAAAACAUGUUUUUUUUAAAAUUAAAAAAACAACAUAUUUGUCAUCUGACUUCAACUGAAGUCUUCAUUGUACCUCAGCUGAGGUCACUCAGGUUUGCUUCAAAUCAUGAACAGGGUUCUCAUGGAUGAAAAACUGUCCUUGACUUUCAAUUUACAGGUUAAGACAAACCCUGUGCAAUCAGUAAUACAUUUUAAGCUAUCUGGAUUAAUGCCUUGGGCUAAGUGGAAAGGUCAAUACAGAAAAUUCAAGAGAAAACCAAAGACUCUGUUGGCUUAUUAAAUUUGUGCAACUGAUUGGAUCUGAGAUGCCGGUGGGCAUGGUUGAUGUUAUACUGAAAGUUAUACUUAUCCUGCUGCUUGGAGCCCUGUUGACAGUAACCUAAACUAAAUGUUGUAUGAGAUAAAAUGAAUGGGCUUAGUCCCAAUUUGUCAGUCAAAUUAAUCAAAAGAGCUGACAGCAUGACGUACUCAUGGGAAAAUUCUGCAAAAAUCAAGAUAGUAUAGAAAUGAGGGAUGGAUAAAAUUGAGAGAAAAUUCUCCUUACUACACAUCUUGAAAAGUAAGGCAAUGGCUACUUAUGUUUUGGACUCUAUUCAAGGAUGUUUAUGUAAUGAAUAGCCUUAGGAGACAGAAUAUCUCCAUCUGGAGCAAAGGGCAGACAUGUAUACUACCCAUUAUAAAAGAUUUUGGUUCCUUAACGCUGAGAUCCACUCCUAUGAUGCAACCUACUGAGCAUACAGGUAUUUUCUGUCUCUCUUCAUACUUCCUGUGGUUACUGGAGUUCAGGACACUAACAUAAAAUUGCUGACCAUAUGGUUACUAGAGGCUGCUAAGACAGCAACUUAAUAUUAUGAAAGUUAAAAUGAAGAAAAUUAGUAAUAAAAGCAUUUUCCUACAUUCCCUAAAAACCCUGCAUUAUAUACGAACAAGUAAUUGAUGAAAAAUAGUUCCUUUAUAAAAGAAUUCUGCCAGGUGCAGUGGCCCAUUCCUAUAUUCCCAGCAACUAAGGCAGGAUUUCAAUUCCAAAGCCAGCCUGGACAACUUAGUGAGAUUCUCAAAAAAAAAAAAAAAAAUGAAAAAGGUCUACAGAAGUAGAUCAGUGGUAGAGCACCCAGUACU